CUUGGUCAUUUAGAGGAAGUAAAAGUCGUAACAAGGUCUCCGUAGGUGAACCUGCGGAGGGAUCAUUACCGAGUUCAUGCCCUCACGGGUAGAUCUCCCACCCUAUGUUAUCAUUACCUUCGUUGCUUUGGCGGGCCGUCAGGCUUCGGCUAGGCUAUCGGCUCCGGCUGGUAAGCGCCCGCCAGAGGACCCUAAACUCUGAAUGUUAGUGUCGUCUGAGUACUAUCUAAUAGUUAAAACUUUCAACAACGGAUCUCUUGGUUCUGGCAUCGAUGAAGAACGCAGCGAAAUGCGAUAAGUAAUGUGAAUUGCAGAAUUCAGUGAAUCAUCGAAUCUUUGAACGCACAUUGCGCCCCUUGGUAUUCCGAGGGGCAUGCCUGUUCGAGCGUCAUUACAACCCUCAAGCACUGCUUGGUAUUGGGCCCCGCUGCUUAACGCCGCGGGCCUUAAAAUCAGUGGCGGCGCCGCUGGGCUCUGAGCGUAGUAAAUUUCCUCGCUACGGAGACCUGGCGGUGGUAGCCAUCAACCCCCAACUUUCUAAGUUUGACCUCGGAUCAGGUAGGGAUACCCGCUGAACUUAAGCAUAUCAAUAAGCGGAGGA
rnacentral:rRNA from 1 species